rnacentral:rRNA from 1 species
AACUUUCAACAACGGAUCUCUUGGCUCUGGCAUCGAUGAAGAACGCAGCGAAAUGCGAUAAGUAAUGUGAAUUGCAGAAUUCAGUGAAUCAUCGAAUCUUUGAACGCACAUUGCGCCCGCCAGCACUCUGGCGGGCAUGCCUGUCCGAGCGUCAU